AGCCAAAGCCGGGAAUCGAACCCGUAUCUAUCGCUUAGAAGGCGAUCGUUCUGAUCCAUUAAACUACAUUGGC
rnacentral:tRNA from 1 species